rnacentral:rRNA from 1 species
GACGAACGCUGGCGGCGUGCUUAACACAUGCAAGUCGAGCGGUAAGGCCCUUUCGGGGGUACGACGAGCGGCGAACGGGUGAGUAACACGUGGGUGACCUGCCCUCAGCUCUGGGAUAAGCCUGGGAAACCGGGUCUAAUACUGGAUAUGACUCCAUGACGCAUGUUGUGGGGUGGAAAGCCUUGUGCGGCUGAGGAUGGGCCCGCGGCCUAUCAGCUUGUUGGUGGGGUGAUGGCCUACCAAGGCGACGA